rnacentral:lncRNA from 1 species
CUCGGGUUGUGGUGUCUCUGGGCUUUUGAGUCAUAGUUCAUAAUGGAGGCCGCCUGGCCUGGUGCGAGCUAGCCCGCCCGAACGGGAUACCGGAAGUUCACAGAGCGGCGCCCGGAAGUGGUCAGUCCGUCAAGUUACUAGUCGGGCAAACCCGGUCGUAGUCCCCAGAAAACUUAGAGAAGCGGGUGUGUGGAUGCGUAGCUGGUCCAGCCGCGAGAGCCUGGGGUUGCAUGGAGAGCCCGCGACCCUCGCACUGUGCCCCCCAGUCCACUCUAAGGUGUCGAUGCUAGUAUAAUUCUCGCUACAGAGAAGGAUUUUUGCACGUAACAACCUUAGCUGCCCUGGAACUUGCUUUCUACACUAUGUUGGCCUCAAACAUACAGAGCUCCAUCUGCCUCUGCCUCCCUAGUACUGGGAUUAAAGAGCUGGAGAGCUGCUCUACUGUUGGAUCUGGAAAGCCAGAAGAAACAUCCCAUAUUUUACUGGAAGGUAAAUUCUGGCGGGCUAUACAUAGCAGUUUCUCCCAGAGAAACUAGAAAAAGCCAGGUGUGGUGCAGACUGAGGAAGAGGAUCAAGGCCAGCCUGGGCUGAAUAGCUCAUCUCAAAAGAUUUAAAGCUACCAUUUUUUGUUUGUUUUUGAGACAGGAUUUCUCUGUAGGUUUGGAGACUGUCCUGGAACUCUCUUUGAAAACCAGGCUGGGCUUGAAUUCACAGAGAUCUGCCUGCCUCUGCCUCCCGAGUGCUGCGAUUAAAGGCGUGCACCAUCACUACCCGGCUCACAGUAGUAUAUGGAGAAGCACUUCCUGUAGUGUGACCAUAAACUGAUGUAUGUUUUUUAAUUAAACCUAACAGUUCUCCAUGUCUUUUAUACCUUCAGCUCCCACCCCACCCUCAAAUGGACACAUUGUACGUUCACAGUUUAUAGAGGGAUAUUUAGGACUUAAAAGGAAUAUGAAAAACUAGGCACAUAAUUUGAAAGGAAACAUGAGUUCCAAUUUCUUAAAGAAUAUGAACAAAGGAAGCAUACUGUGCUUGGAAAAAUACAAAUUUCCUGCAAGUAAAAUUGUGGAAUAUACUUCUUUUUUUUUUUUUUUUUUUUUUUUUUUUUUUUUUUUUUUUUUUUUUGGGUUUUUUGAAACAGGGUUCUCUGUGUAGCUUUGGAACCUAUCCUGGCACUCGCUUUGGAGACCAGGCUGGCCCUGAACUCACAGAGAUCCUCCUGCCUCUGCAUC